UACGUAGGGACCAAGCGUUGUCCGGAUUCAUUGGGCGUAAAGAGCUCGUAGGCGGCCACUCAAGUCGAAUGUGAAACCUCGAGGCUUAACCUCGAGCCUGCAUUCGAUACUGGGCGGCUAGAGUCUGGUAGGGGGAUCUGGAAUUCCUGGUGUAGCGGUGGAAUGCGCAGAUAUCAGGAGGAACACCUGCGGCGAAGGCGGGUAGCUGGGCCGACACUGACGCUGAUGCGCGAA
rnacentral:rRNA from 1 species